rnacentral:rRNA from 1 species
AGUGAACGCUGGCGGUAGGCCUAACACAUGCAAGUCGAACGGCAGCACAGGAGAGCUUGCUCUCUGGGUGGCGAGUGGCGGACGGGUGAGGAAUACAUCGGAAUCUACUUUUUCGUGGGGGAUAACGUAGGGAAACUUACGCUAAUACCGCAUACGACCUACGGGUGAAAGCAGGGGACCUUCGGGCCUUGCGCGAUUGAAUGAGCCGAUGUCGGAUUAGCUAGUUGGCGGGGUAAAGGCCCACCAAGGCGACGAUCCGUAGCUGGUCUGAGAGGAUGAUCAGCCACACUGGAACUGAGACACGGUCCAGACUCCUACGGGAGGCAGCAGUGGGGAAUAUUGGACAAUGGGCGCAAGCCUGAUCCAGCCAUACCGCGUGGGUGAAGAAGGCCUUCGGGUUGUAAAGCCCUUUUGUUGGGAAAGAAAUCCAGCCGGCUAAUACCUGGUUGGGAUGACGGUACCCAAAGAAUAAGCACCGGCUAACUUCGUGCCAGCCGCCGCCGUAA